rnacentral:rRNA from 1 species
CCUACGGGUGGCAGCAGUGAGGAAUAUUGGUCAAUGGGCGAGAGCCUGAACCAGCCAAGUAGCGUGAAGGAUGACUGCCCUAUGGGUUGUAAACUUCUUUUAUAAAGGAAUAAAGUCGGGUAUGCAUACCCGUUUGCAUGUACUUUAUGAAUAAGGAUCGGCUAACUCCGUGCCAGCAGCCGCGGUAAUACGGAGGAUCCGAGCGUUAUCCGGAUUUAUUGGGUUUAAAGGGAGCGUAGAUGGAUGUUUAAGUCAGUUGUGAAAGUUUGCGGCUCAACCGUAAAAUUGCAGUUGAUACUGGAUGUCUUGAGUUCAGUUGAGGCAGGCGGAAUUCGUGGUGUAGCGGUGAAAUGCUUAGAUAUCACGAAGAACUCCGAUUGCGAAGGCAGCCUGCUAAUCUGCGACUGACAUUGAGGCUCGAAAGUGUGGGUAUCAAACAG